GCCGAGGUAUCUAAGGCGGUAUAGCAGGGGACUGAAAAUCCCCGUGUCGGCAGUUCGAUUCUGUCCCUCGGCA
rnacentral:tRNA from 1 species